ACUCGAUAUAAUAUCGCAUAAAUACACACUGCAGUUAUUCUCUACAUUUCUUUUCAAUUCGAUUAUGAGAUAUAGUUAAACGUAAGUAGUUGUCUACCUACACAUAUAUUCAAAUUUUUUUUAGUGAAAAGUGAAACAUUAUGUCGAAAGUUACAUUGAUCGUAUUCAGCGUUUUGUGCGUAUUGGCCAUGGCUUAUCAAGUCUACAGUUUGCCAUAUUGGAUGCCAUCCUAUGAUCCUGAUAGGUACACUACGUCGACUGAAAAGCAGACUUUGUAUGAUCGACGACCGUAUCAGAUCAUGAAACAGCAAAUGGGUGAUAAAUUGAAAAGGGAUUUGAUAAAUAGUAUACCUAAGUUUAGGUAUAAUAAGUAAUGUGGAUUGUAUUUGUCUUAGUAAUUAGUCAAGCCUAGUAUUGUUUACAUUUAAUUACUCAGAGUGAAAAGAUUAUUCUCUUAUAAAUAAUACCUAGGUACACAAUUUAACCAUAAUAUUAGGUAAUAAAAAUUUCAAGUCCAUAAUUAUUUAAUCGAGUAGGUAUUUAUAUAGGUAAUAAUGAAGUGCAUGAAAAAAAUUCAUUUGAUGAAAAUCUUCUCGAGUCUGUAGAACGCUUAUUGAUAGGUACUCAAUUUGAUAGCUUAUUGAAAUUAUUGACCUGUUCAAUGAUUUUUCCAUUUAUUACAAUCUUACUUCUUACUGGCUCCUUUCCUUUGAAGGCCAUUGUUUUUGUUUUCUCUGAUGAUAUUCUCAUAUCAUACUUUUCUAAUGUCUUUGUUAAAUUAUACAUUGAUCUCUGUAGGUCAUCUUCUGUUUCAGCUAGUACUGCUUGAUCAUCUGCGAAUAAUACUGUUGAUAUUUCUUACCUUCUGUCUGUCUUGAUUCCUUUUGGCUUCAUUUUCUGCCAUUCUUUUACCAUGUGAUCCAUAUACAUGUUGAAUAAAACACAAGACAGUGGACAUCCCUGGCGAACUCCUCUGUUUAUUUCUGCUUGUUCUGAGAGUUUAUUUCCAAUUCGUACUCUUAUUCUAGUGUUCUUAUAUAUGCUGUUUAUCACCUUUUGCAUUUUAUAUGUUAUCUCUUCAUCUUCUAGGACUUCAAACAGUUUUUUUCUAGUAACCCUAUCAUAUGCUUUUUCCAGGUCUAUGAAGCACAUGUGUGUUUCUAGGUUGUAUUCGAUCCUUUUUUCCAUCAGUAGUUUUACUGUAUAACUUGCGUCAGUGCAUGAUCUUCCUUUUCUAAAUCCGUUUUGACUUUCUGACAGCUUUUCUUCUGCAUGCUCUGCCAGUUGUUUUGUCAGUAUUUUCGCAUAUAUCUUGUAGCAGGUGUUGAGUAGACUUAAUCCUCGGUAGUUUUUCAGGUUUGACAUAUCGCCUUUCUUGAACAGUGGUAUUACAAUUGCUGUUUUGAAAUCUUCAGGUACCUUUUCUUCUUGGUACAUCCUAUUUAGGAAUUCCAGUAGUCUUCUUUUAAAUUCAACACUUGCAUAUUUGUACAAUUCUGUUGGUAUGCCAUCUUCUCCUGGAGCUUUUGCAUUUUUUGCCAUUUUCAAUGCUUCUUGUAGCUCUUUAAAUGAAAUUCUGUCCUCUGUUUCUCUGAUUUCAUCUUCUAUCUUUGUAGCUUGUGCAUUUUCAUCACCCCAGAGUUCUUCAAAAUAUUCCUUUGCAUCAUUGAUUUUAAUCUUUGGCAAACCCACUCUUGUUAAAAUUUGUGUCAAUUCUCCUUAUCAUCUUGUACACCUUUGGCCUUAAUUUGUAUGUGUCAUGCUCAAGGAAUGUGAUGAAAUUUUCCCAGCUCUCUCUCUCUGUAAUUUCCUGGACUUUCUCUUGACUUUUGCCGACUGUUUUCGAUAUUCUUCACCAUCAACCUCGCUUUUUGUGCUCAUGAAUUUUCUAAAUGCCUGUCUUUUCUUUUGUAUGAGUUCUUGGAUUUCGUUGUCCCAAUUCUUUAUUUCGUUUUGCCCCAAUUCUGCAAGGAACCAUUCCUAAGCUUUCUUUUGCCACUUUUGUCACAAUGGAUUUGAUAUUUUUCCAUUCUUCUUCUAUGUCCUGGCUUGUUGGUAUCUCUUGACUAAUGAUGUUCAUCCGUCUUUGGUACAGCUCUUGGUUGGUUGGGUCAUCCAGGGCUCUUGUGUUGAUCUUCUUUUCAUUUUUCCUGGCUGGUAUUCUUGUUGUUUCCAUUCUCAUUACUCCUUGAACAAAAAGAUGGUCAGUGCCUAUUUCUAGACCUCUGUAUGUUCUUAUAUCCAAGAAUUUCUUUGCGGCAUUUUCAUUGGCUAUAAAAUGGACGAUCAUUGAGCUUUGUCCUCUUGUAUUGCUCCAUGUCAUCUUGUGAUCUUCCUUGUGUUGGUAGAAUGUAUUCAUGAUUCUUAGUCCUUGAAAGUGCAAAAAUCUAUCAGUCUCUUCCCAUUUGUAUUCAUUCCUUCUGUUCCAUACAUACCAGUUACUGUCUUUACUUGCUUAUCUCCUACCUGAGCAUUCAAGUCUCCUGCUAUUACCAAUUUAUCUUCUGGAUUUACUGCUUCUGCUGCCCUCUGUAGUUGCUUGUAGAACUCUUAGCUUUGUUCCUCUCUUCCCUCUUUGGGUGCAUAUACUCCAAUUAUUGUAAGAAAGUCUUUUUUCAAUCUCAUCCUUGCUGAUACAAUUCUUUCAUGCCAUAUGUUGUAUGAGUCGAUGUUUUUGCGGUGUUUAUUAUGUAUGUGUAACAUCACUCCGCCUGCAGCUCUGGUUUUCUUGUCGACUCCACUGUAGAUAACAAUGUAAUUUCCAGAUUCAAUUGUUCCACUUCCUUUCUUCUUUGUUUCAGACAUCACAGCAAAGUCUAUAUUUCUGCUGCUUGGAAUUCCGUUUAUUUCUGCUUCCUUGGCUGCAUAUCCUCUUACAUUCCAUUUUCCGAAUUUGCAUUUUCCUUUCGUUAGCGUGUGUUUUUAUUUUAACCAGGGGUUCAUCUCCGCCUGGGAUCCCAUAGUUCCAUCCGUUUUCUGUUGUUUGUGAGUUUUGAGUAAGGUUGAUUUUUGUCUGACUUGGUUACCAGCCAUGCCAGACAUAUCACGGUGAUAGGGCUGCUAUCUAGGCCUCCGCGCUUGCCUGGUCCUCUUUUAGUCGUCUUUUACAACAGGCAGAGGGUACCAUAAGGAUAUUCUUGACCCAUCCCUACACAGGGGUGCCAAUACCUAUUGUUCAUAAAACCACAAUAAAUCAUUGUAAAACAAGUUUAAUCACAAUACAAUGUGUUUGAAGUUAAUUUGACUUUCUUAUUUACAUAAAUAUCCGAUGCCUCAUGUAUUUACGACAGCCUUACAGUGAUAUUAAACCCUGUUUGUCCCACUUAUGACGGUGGUAUAAGGCCCGAGGGUAUAGCCUCCCCCUCAGGAUCCGACAUAAGUCCACAUAUCAUUUUAUUAUCUAGGGUAAGCCCCCCAACACACCGAGGGGACUUGAUAAGAUAGUAAAUGUAGAUAGAUUAUUUUCUAGCUUGAUUACCAUAGAUACUUCCCUGAGAGCACUAGGUACACUCAACCUAGACUAGACUUAUAUAUUUAACCAUCAAUAGACCUAUCUGUAGUAAAAUCUCCCUAUAAUACACAUUAAACAAAAUCCAAUCAAUUCGAAAUGUGUUAAUUUUCACUGAUUAUGAUUAAUUAUGAUUACGCUUAUAAAUCCUAGGAAUUUUCUAACUCGAUAUAAUAUCGCAUAAAUACACUGUGCAGUUAUAUAUUCUCUACAUUUCUUUUCAAUUCGGUAAUGAGAUAUAGUUAAACGUAGGAAUCUAACCUACCCAUAUAUUCAAUUUUUUUUAGUGAAAAGUGAAACAUUAUGUCGAAAAUUACAUUGAUCGUAGUCUGCGUUUUGUGCGUAUUGGCCAUGGCUGAUCAAGUCUACAGUUUCCCAUACUACGAGAAGUUCACUACGGAGACUGAAAAGCCGACUUUGUGGGCUCAAUCACGACAGUUUCAGGCCAGGAAACAGCUGUUGGAUGCCCAAAUAAAAAGCUUUCAGAUAAAUACUUUACUUAAGAUUAUGAAUAAAAAGUAAUGUGGAUUGUAUUCGCUUAUAAAUAAUUCUGUCGGGAUAUUAUGGCAUUUUAAAUACCUAUGUACACAAUUAUAUAGCCAUAACAUUAAGGUAAUAAUGAAGUACACGAAACAAAAAAAAAGCAAAUCCACACAAAUAAAAUUAGAAAACUUUAGGUGGUGAAUUUCAUUCGAUAAAAAUCUUCUCGAGUCUGUAGAACGUUUAGAUAGGUACUCGAUUUGAUAGCUUAUACGAGUAGGUACGUAUAAAUGUAACAUGAAUUAUCGAUGAAAACUUCAUUCGAGCGUAAUAAAAUCUCUCAAAUUGAUUAGCAACUUGAUAAAACAUUUAAACAAGCCAUAAAUACCCGUAUAAAUAACACGAGUACCUACCUAGAUAUUUUCUUUUCAAUUGAAAAAUAUACAUAUACGCAGGUGGUAAAUCUUCACAGCAACACAGCAGAAUCAUGAAGAAAAAAAUUAUGAUUGCCUUUUUCUACAUUCUGUACCUCUCAGUCACGAUUUUUCAAUUCAGUAUGUAUUAGUUUCUCACCACAAUAUGAACCUCCCUUGGAAAGCCUACCAACACUGAUCCUGUACCACAAACUUAAUGCCUUCAACAGCAGCCAACAAAAAUAUGGUUUAGAACUAGUUUGUAAGUAGGUACCUAAAAAAUGAAUUAAAUUAAUUUUUUUACUUGUCAAUAAUGAAUGUUUUUAAAUCGAUUAUCCAUCACUAUAACACUAUGAAAGUUCAAUAAUAUAAAUACAAAGUUCGAAAUAAUCA